AACGAACGCUGGCGGCAGGCCUAACACAUGCAAGUCGAGCGAGCAUUUCGGUGCUAGCGGCGGACGGGUGAGUAACGCGUGGGAACGUGCCCUUUUCUGCGGAAUAGUCCUGGGAAACUGGGGGUAAUACCGCAUACGCCCUUUUGGGGAAAGAUUUAUCGGAGAAGGAUCGGCCCGCGUUGGAUUGGGUAGUUGGUGGGGUAAUGGCCCACCAAGCCGACGAUCCAUAGCUGGUUGGGGAGGAUGAUCAGCCACACUGGGACUGAGACACGGCCCAGACUCCUACGGAGGGCAGCAGUGGGGAAUCUUAGACAAUGGGGGCAACCCUGAUCUAGCCAUGCCGCGUGAGUGAUGAAGGCCUUAGGGUUGUAAAGCUCUUUCAGCUGGGAAGAUAAUGACGGUACCGGCAGAAGAAGCCCCGGCUAACUCCGUG
rnacentral:rRNA from 1 species